UAACGGCGAGUGAAGCGGCAACAGCUCAAAUUUGAAACCUGGCGCUUGCGUCCGGAUUGUAAUUUGCAGAGGAUGCUUCUGGGCAGCGGCCGGUCUAAGUUCCUUGGAACAGGACGUCAUAGAGGGUGAGAAUCCCGUAUGCGACCGGCGCGCACCCUUCACGUAGCUCCUUCGACGAGUCGAGUUGUUUGGGAAUGCAGCUCUAAAUGGGUGGUAAAUUCCAUCUAAAGCUAAAUAUUGGCCCGAGACCGAUAGCGCACAAGUAGAGUGAUCGAAAGAUGAAAAGCACUUUGGAAAGAGAGUUAAAAAGCACGUGAAAUUGUUGAAAGGGAAGCGCUUCCCACCAGACUCCGCGGCGGUGUUCCGCCGGCCUUUUGGCCGGUCCACUCGCCGCCGUGGGGCCAGCAUCGUCUGGGGCCGCCGGAUAAGACCGUUGCAAUGUAGCUCCCUCGGGAGUGUUAUAGGCAGCGGGGAUGCGGCGCGCCCCGGGCGAGGUCCGCGCUUCGGCAAGGAUGCUGGCGUAAUGGUGGGCAGCGGCCCGUCUUGAAACACGGACCAAGGAGUCUAACAUCUAUGCGAGUGUUCGGGUGUCAAACCCCUACGCGUAAUGAAAGUGAACGGAGGUGGGAGCUUCGGCGCACCAUCGACCGAUCCUGAUGUCCUCGGAUGGAUUUGAGUAAGAGCAUAGCUGUUGGGACCCGAAAGAUGGUGAACUAUGCCUGAAUAGGGUGAAGCCAGAGGAAACUCUGGUGGAGGCUCGCAGCGGUUCUGACGUGCAAAUCGAUCGUCAAAUUUGG
rnacentral:rRNA from 1 species